rnacentral:rRNA from 1 species
AAGUGCGAUCAGGGGACUCCGAGUGUGAAGGCAUAGAGCCUUCACUUUUGUACACCGUAAGGUGGUGCACGAAUAAGGACUGGGCAAGACCGGUGCCAGCCGCCGCGGUAAUACCGGCAGUCCGAGUGAUGGCCGAUCUUAUUGGGCCUAAAGCGUCCGUAGCUGGCUGAACAAGUCCGUUGGGAAAUCUGUCCGCUUAACGGGCAGGCGUCCAGCGGAAACUGUUCAGCUUGGGACCGGAAGACCUGAGGGGUACGUCUGGGGUAGGAGUGAAAUCCUGUAAUCCUGGACGGACCGCCGGUGGCGAAAGCGCCUCAGGAGAACGGAUCCGACAGUGAGGGACGAAAGCUAGGGUCUCGAACCGGAUUAGAUACCCGGGUAGUCCUAGCUGUAAACGAUGUCCGCUAGGUGUGGCGCAGGCUACGAGCCUGCGCUGUGCCGUAGGGAAGCCGAGAAGCGGACCGCCUGGGAAGUACGUCUGCAAGGAUGAAACUUAAAGGAAUUGGCG